rnacentral:tRNA from 1 species
UAGCUCAGCUGGAUAGAGUACUUGGCUACGAACCAAGGGGUCAGGAGUUCGAAUCUCUUU